rnacentral:rRNA from 1 species
GUCUGUGGCCAUACCACCCUGAAUGCGUUCAAUCUCGUCUGAUCUUGGAAGCUAAGCAGGGCUCAGCAUGGUUAGUACUUGGAUGGGAGAAAGUGGGCAAAGGAUAUGAAUAGACU